rnacentral:rRNA from 1 species
UACGUAGGGGGCAAGCGUUAUCCGGAUUUACUGGGUGUAAAGGGAGCGUAGGUGGUUAGAUAAGUCAGAUGUGAAAGCCCAGGGCUCAACCCUGGGACUGCAUUUGAAACUAUCUAACUAGAGUGCAGGAGAGGUAAGUGGAAUUCCUAGUGUAGCGGUGAAAUGCGUAGAUAUUAGGAGGAACACCAGUGGCGAAGGCGGCUUACUGGACUGUAACUGACACUGAGGCUCGAAAGCGUGGGGAGCAAACAGG